rnacentral:lncRNA from 1 species
AGUAGUUUUUACAUAUUUAUACUAUGAUCCUCUACUUUCCAGAUCAACACAAAUGGUAAAGCUCAGUCACUUGUUAAAAAUGAAACAUGUUCAAUAUCACUACAGAGACAAUUUUUGUUUACACACAACUUUUGUGUUCCUCAUUUGAUGGCGCAUUAGUUCCUCAUUUGGAGGUGCAUUAGGAAUAUUGACCCAGCUGGUCUUGUGUUGGUUUCAGAUCUCUGAAAAAAAAAUCAUAAAUUAUAAAAUACAAAAAAAUAAAUUGAUCCCAACUUAUGAAUUACAGCAGUUCUUAAAAAUUAUCCUGUGUUUACACAUAAUCAAUAUUUUUUCUAUUGCUGGUCCUAUAAUAAACUGCAGAUUCAUAAUUAUGUUAUGUUGUUACUGAGAUGUUUGUAUCUUUGCCAAUUAUACACAUUUUGAUGAUGUAUGUUAGAAAUUUAACACAAUUUCAACAGUAUAUAAUUAUUCAUAACUUAUGAUUAACCUUCGUUCUUAUUUAAAAAAUAAAUUUGUUGUUAAAUUGAACAUGUGUUAAUGAAAUUAUGUCUGUUCCAGAAAAUACUAUGUCCGCCCCUAAGGGACAGCCCUAAGCCCUUUUAAAAAAAAAAUCCCAGCACCGACAGAAUUAAAAAUUAAUAAGAACAACACUCCCUUUUAACUUGCAUUUUGGUAUUUCAUACACAACCACCCCCAAAUAAAAUUUAAGAAAAGAGCUUUCCCUGGGGUAGAGGGGACAUAAUAUUUUCUGGAGCAACCAGUGGUUAUUCUACAA